ACUGUGACAAACAAUUUUUUUCUGUGUAAUAACUUGCAUGGAUUAAUUGUUCACCACAAGACUAGUAAUAUGCACUAACAAAGUAAAUAGGGUCAAUUCUGAUUUCAUGAUUGGCAAUAUGUGAUAAGUGCUUUGGAGCCACUAGUGCGGUGCAGGCUAGGUAACUUUAGCAUACAAUAUAUAUAAAUAUGCUAACUUUGUAAGUGACUUUUGCAUUAUGUCUACAGUAAAUGAACUAAUCAGAAAAUGGACCAUUUUCUAUGUUCAGUGAGUCUCACCAGAUUGAAUUUACUCAGGAAAGCAUUGCAGUAAAUUUCACUAAUCAUUAAUUCAAAUCAAGUAAGUUAUUCUAAACAACUGUAGUUUUUAUUUUUGAAAUGAAGCUCUAGCGCAAGUUCUGCCGGGAAGACUCAAAUGUUACGUCACUUAUUAAUUCAGAUCUAACCAAUCAUUAUCUAACACUUGGAGUAUGGAAGAUUGGUACUUACACUUGUCUGAGUUCGCAGAUGCUGACGCAAAUUUUCACCUCCAUCCUCCCCACCACCACCAGGAUGGUCCCUGUCCAUACUCCCCGGGGGUUGGCUACGCCCCUGCCUUCAGCUUCAGGCAGGAAACGCAAAGUCUGCAAUCCUCAGGACGUGAGCUACAGACGGGGCCUACGCCAAAGAUCAUUAACCUUAUAUAUUCUGCUUGCUGUUUGGUUCAAGAGUCCCAUCUGACCAGGAAGAUGCCUAAUAUGAUUUCAGCAUAUCAGUACACAGCUAUCCCUUCACUGCAGACAAGCUGAAAUGAGCUAAAUCCUUGAUCGCAGUCUUUAUGUCCAUGAAUCAUUUGGAGAGAAAUAAAGCGAUGUAGAGACACGUUGGAGCUUGGAGAUCGCUGGAGUGACUUGGAGCUGGUUGGAACACACCCAC